AGUCGAGCAGAGAUCAAAAUCAUCAUUGCCUUCUCAAAGCUGAGAAUAGUUGUUUUUAUUUAUCAGUCAUAAUGCCAUCAAAAGUUUUCCUCGGCAUAUUUCAGCUGGUACUGAUCUCCAGCUAUUUUUCAGCGUUGGAGUCUCACCCUUCCAGUGCUUUGUCAGAUGAUCUCCUAGAGGAGCACUGGAUGUUUGUACUUCCUGAUUUAACAGAUCCAGUUGGACGAAAAUGUGCUCUUUACAGCACACAAUUCUGCCAUCUGGGCUACUUCACAAACUCUAUUAACUCAG